rnacentral:rRNA from 1 species
UGCCAGACUCCUACGGGAGGCAGCAGUGGGGAAUAUCGCACAAUGGGGGAAACCCUGAUGCAGCGACGCCGCGUGAGCGAUGAAGUAUUUCGGUAUGUAAAGCUCUAUCAGCAGGGAAGAAAAUGACGGUACCUGACUAAGAAGCCCCGGCUAACUACGUGCCAGCAGCCGCGGUAAUACGUAGGUGGCAAGCGUUGUCCGGAAUUACUGGGUGUAAAGGGAGCGUAGGCGGGAAAGCAAGUUGAAUGUUUAAGGUACGGGCUCAACCUGUACAAGCGUUCAAAACUGUUUUUCUUGAGUGGAGUAGAGGUAAGCGGAAUUCCUAGUGUAGCGGUGAAAUGCGUAAAUAUUAGGAGGAACACCAGUGGCGAAGGCGGCUUACUGGGCUUUAACUGACGCUGAGGCUCGAAAGCGUGGGUAGCAAACAGGAUUAGAUACCCUUGUA